UUAAAAAGCUCGUAGUUGGAUUCCUGUAUGGAAGGGGCGUCCCCACCCUUUGGAUGGGGGUUGCUGCCUUCUUUGCAUCUUCCGGAGUAGAUGUUCCUCACUUAACUGUGAGGACAUUAUGCUCGGGUCAUUUACUUUGAGGAAAAGAGAGUGCUCCAAGCAGGCAAACGCCUGAAUACGUUAGCAUGGAAUAAUAGCAUCGGAUCAUCGUUCAGCUGUUGGUGUCUGGACGAGGAUAAAGGUGAACAGGGAUUGUUGGGGGCAUUCGUAUUUAACUGUCAGA
rnacentral:rRNA from 1 species